UACGGGGGGGGCAAGCGUUGUUCGGAAUUACUGGGCGUAAAGGGCUCGUAGGCGGUCAACUAAGUCGGACGUGAAAUCCCUCGGCUUAACCGGGGAACUGCGUCCGAUACUGGAUGACUUGAGUUCGGGAGAGGGAUGCGGAAUUCCAGGUGUAGCGGUGAAAUGCGUAGAUAUCUGGAGGAACACCGGUGGCGAAGGCGGCAUCCUGGACCGACACUGACGCUGAGGAGCGAAAGCCAGGGGAGCAAACGGG
rnacentral:rRNA from 1 species